UGGGGACUAUUGCACAAUGGGCGAAAGCCUGAUGCAGCGACGCCGCGUGAAGGAUGAAGUAUUUCGGUAUGUAAACUUCUAUCAGCAGGGAAGAAAAUGACGGUACCUGACUAAGAAGCCCCGGCUAACUACGUGCCAGCAGCCGCGGUAAUACGUAGGGGGCAAGCGUUAUCCGGAUUUACUGGGUGUAAAGGGAGCGUAGACGGCGAUGCAAGCCAGAUGUGAAAGCCCGGGGCUCAACCCCGGGACUGCAUUUGGAACUGUGUGGCUGGAGUGUCGGAGAGGCAAGUGGAAUUCCUAGUGUAGCGGUGAAAUGCGUAGAUAUUAGGAGGAACACCAGUGGCGAAGGCGGCUUGCUGGACGAUGACUGACGUUGAGGCUCGAAAGCGUGGGGAGCAAACAGG
rnacentral:rRNA from 1 species